rnacentral:rRNA from 1 species
GACGAACGCUGGCGGCGUGCUUAACACAUGCAAGUCGAACGGAAAGGCCCUGCUUGCAGGGUACUCGAGUGGCGAACGGGUGAGUAACACGUGGGUGAUCUGCCCUGCACUUCGGGAUAAGUCUGGGAAACUGGGUCUAAUACCGGAUAGGAGCCAUUUUUAGUGUGAUGGUUGGAAAGUUUUUUCGGUGUAGGAUGAGCUCGCGGCCUAUCAGCUUGUUGGUGGGGUAAUGGCCUACCAAGGCGGCGACGGGUAGCCGGCCUGAGAGGGUGGACGGCCACAGUGGGACUGAGAUACGGCCCAGACUCCUACGGGAGGCAGCAGUGGGGAAUAUUGCACAAUGGGCGCAAGCCUGAUGCAGCGACGCCGCGUGGGGGAUGACGGCCUUCGGGUUGUAAACUCCUUUCGCUAGGGACGAAGCUUUUUGUGACGGUACCUAGAGAAGAAGCACCGGCUAACUACGUG